CACAGAGUGUGACAAGGCUGGCCCUUUGAAAUACAGGUACACCAGAAACAGGAAGAAAGAGUGAGAGAAAGUUUUAGUGAAAGAGUACAGCAGGGCUCGCCACCAUACCCUGCCGGAACCUCGUGGAGCUUUUAGUGUUUUCGCUCAAUAAACACUCACAAACGCCCGUUCUAGGAAUCGAAACCACGAUCCUACGACCGCGAGUCCGCUGCCCUAACCACUAGGCC